rnacentral:rRNA from 1 species
UACGUAGGUGGCAAGCGUUGUCCGGAUUUACUGGGCGUAAAGAGCGCGCAGGCGGUCGUUCAAGUCGCGUGUGAAAGCCCCCCGGCUCAACUGGGGAGGGUCACGCGAUACUGAUCGACUCGAAGGCAGGAGAGGGUAGUGGAAUUCCCGGUGUAGUGGGUGAAAAUGCGUAGAUAUCAGGAAGAACACCCGUGGCGAAGGCGGUUCUCUGGGACGGUACUGACGCUGAGACGCGAAAGCGUGGGGAGCGAACAGG